rnacentral:lncRNA from 1 species
CAGAGAGAUGACGGUAUAGCCAUGAUUUGCCACUGAGAGGAUGGAGUCAGCCCAGGGAGAUAUUUCUAAACUGCGGAAAUCGGUCAGAUUAGAGAGGGGGGUUUGUAAGUAAUUUAUAGCUGAGUAAGUGGGAUUCGCCAUGAGCCUACCUUGUGGGAAUCCUCUCAAACAUUCCCACUACGAGCUCAGAAAAGCCUCAUGGCAAGUCACAGGGCAGGAAAUUGCGGGGGAGGAGGGGUUGGGGGGGCGAGAAGGCAGAAACAGGAAGCAGGGAACAGGAAGGACAGGUGAAGAAAGAUGAGGUUUCCAUAAACAGGAAACAACCGUAUGGCCUCUUUACCUCUCACAUCUUAUGUGGACACAAACGGAGAACCCCACUUCCAACCAGGAGGGAGACCUGCCUUCUCGCACCAGGCUUAAUCAAUCCUGGUAGACAGAUACUCAACCAGGCUCCGGUGAGCUCAUUUGUACUUGGCAGAUUUUUCAACAGUGAGCGCAUGUUCAUUAGCAAUAAUAUUGAGUGGGGUCACAAAUGGAUCUCACAGUCAUUGGAUACACAGACAAGAGGUAAGUGCCUUAUUUGAUCUGUAAUUAACCCAUUCUUCUUUACAAUAACCACUUCCUAGAGGGGAAACAUUACCUUUUCAUCAUUUCUGCUUUAAAACAUAGUUCAUUUCAGUACAUUAAAUUGCCCCUCUAAUAUAUUCACUCUCCGGUAGGUAGUCACUAGCCACUCAAGGCUAUUUAAUUUUAAAUUUUAAUUAGUUCACAUUUAAAAUCAGAUCCCUACACAGGUAUAGGAUUUAUUUUCACUUCCCUUUAGUCAGAAAUAUUUUAGCACUCUUCCUAGA